GAAUGUCUGGAGUAAACGUGACUCAAAUAUGUCCAACCUACAUUAGACAAUCGGGAGUCAAACACUGCACAGCUGUCGGGCCGUCACCGAACGGAUGGCAAAAAUGCAGCUAAGGCGCCCACCUGUGAGAGCGCAGGUUUGGACAUAUACGAGAACGUAUUUCGGACAAUCA
rnacentral:other from 1 species